GUCUCUGUAGUAUAUGGCAUUACCUCGGUCUUGUAAACCGAAAAAGGAAGCAACACACCUCCCUGAGACU
rnacentral:tRNA from 1 species